rnacentral:tRNA from 1 species
GUGGGUGUAGCUCAGCAGGCUAGAGCGCAGGAUUGUGGCUCCUGAGGUCGUGGGUUCAAGUCCCAUCACCCACCCCA